rnacentral:lncRNA from 1 species
AUCUGUAACACUUCUUCAAAGGAGGAGCGUCACGACUGCCUUAGAAACAAUGAGCAGAUGGCAACUACAGAGGCAGAGCAUAAAAGCAAUGGCAGUACCAACCUUUGACAGGAUUUCAUGUAAAUGGGAGAAGUAGCAGGAGAGCAGAAAGGAAGUCCCUGGACCAUGAAAAAGAACUUUGGAAGGGGCUUAACAGGAAGCAGUGAGGCACAGAGCUACCAUAUGGAAGAGCAGACCUAGACUUGGCUCUCCAUUAUUCCUGAGAUAUGUGGACCAGAGAGGUGCCAAAGGAACAUGGAACUUGAAAGAAUUUGCCAUCGAUCAAGCUCAGAAGUCAAAAAGAGAGCCCCAGUUUGAUCCCCCCAAGUUUAAAAGUCUCUCCCAGCCCACCUACUUUCAUACAUCAUGCCAGUGUGGUGACAUUCCACUGACUCUUCCCUGCUUUAAGGAUGCCCACUGGACACAGACUCUGCCACAUUGUCACCCAGCUCAACUGCUGAGUCUCAUGCUGUCUCCAGGGGUUGCCAAGGCUUAGAUUCUGUCCUCAUGAUCAAGUUCCCGUAAAUAACUUCCUUCUUUACUAAAUGUGUUUACAAGACAUGCAUGAGAUAUUUAUCCUUUACUCUAUACAUGGUGUAGGUGUUUUUCCUGCCUCUGAUUUGUGGUGAUUGAAUCAGGAAUAUUGGGAUGCAGGAUGAGAGGGCAUGACAAAACACUUACUGGUGAAAAUUUUGUAUGACUAUGUAAAUGCUUAAUUAGAACUUAAUUAAAACUUUUUUUCCCCAGACUGAGGCCAAGUAUUCAAUGAGAAGCAAACCAAACUAGGCCCAACAAGCACAGUUGGCCCAAUUCUGCAGAGGCUGUAUUAAGAAUGCAUAAGGGAUUGGAUUUCCAGAUGUGCACCCCCCUUCUUUUCCCAUUCUGAAGCUCAACAAUAUCAAUAAGCCUUGUUAAUUGAUCACACUGAGUGUUCCCUUCCCAUUCAAUUUGGCCUUGGUUAAAUGGAAAUUGGAAUUCCAAGCAGUACAUCUGAAUAAAAUGUUAGGGCUUUGUUUAGUUUUACCA